GGUGGAAAAGUCCGUUGGUAAUUCUACCUUCUAAUCGAGUUGUGAGUUCCACAGCUAUGGAAUUGGAUUCUUUUUUUUUCAUUCAGAGUCCUUGAGGAAUGCCACUGCUCUUUUUCUAAAGUUCUGUUAGGUUCUUAGUAGCAGUCGGCUAUCUGAACUUGGUAGUACCUCGAUCGCCAGUCCAACUUAGUGCCGGACCUAAUGGAUCUCAAAGUCCUCAUGAGUGUUUUCUUUUCUUUUGAGUGUUGUUAUGGGCCCGAUGGUCGAUACAUAGACGGAGGCUUGCGUCAUGCUUCUUCUGGAACAGAGCCCUCCUCGCAUAAAUUCCAAUCAUUGAAGAGGAAUGAGAGUAGACCAGUACCCGGCUCCUUACAACCUAAACAUAAUACCUACGUGGGGAUACUUCUGCAGGAAGACACGGAAGCCGCUACAAGUGUUCAAUGUUUUGGUUUUUUUGUUCGAUUAUGGAAGCUUUACAUGAAAGCUAAGAAGAUAAGGUUCGGUUCCAUUAGGUUAAGGAAAAUACAGAGAUUCUCUGGAGUAACAGGCUGAGCAAUCCGGCGUGUUUUGAUUUACGUUCAAACACUCCUCUCAGUACCAUACCUAGUAUGAGAGCCGAUGGUCAAUCUUUCUUCUCAGACUCUUUCUAGCCGGAGCACAGUACUCGACCCCAGGAACUAGUUCCAAAGGGUGAUGAGACAUUUUCCAUCAGAACUUUGGAGGAGAACUCAAAACCUAGUUAGUCCGAGGUUACAACCCUCACGUGGAGCGCCUACUAGGCUUAAGGAAGAAAGUACUAGCGGCCUGGUGAAGACCUACGGACCAGACUCACAUGAGUCCGGCGCCGACGUGCACGACUUUCUCCGGUGCAAAGUCCGAACCAACUGCCAUGGUACUGGUCUAGUAAGGAAUGACUUCUAAUCUCAUCUUCAUAGGUAUGCAGACCUUCACCCGGGUUUGUCCAGUCUACUCAAUGCAAGUGCCUGUCUUUAGCAUGAGACGGCACGUGCCUCAACGGCAAGUUCUCUAUUGCCCUUCUGGCCUUACUAGGGGUUCUCAUCUUUCCCCACGAGGUAAAGCCCUUUCCAGAUGGAGUCGUGCAUCUCUGUCUUGAAAGCCCGCCCUACUGAUAUAAGUUCCUAUCUAUACUGACUAUCAAACCCGAAGACUCUUAUUCGUGGUGGAGUGCUUCUAGUAGGAUCCGAUCCCAUUCCAGCAGUCAAACUCCUUCCUGCCUCUGAAGAUGGAAUGCCUUUCUAGAGAGAGGAGUCCCGGCUACCCGAGAACAACUGCCUGAGUGAGCUACUCGUUUUGUUCUUGUCUUCGACGUUUGCGAUUUAGGAGAAAGCCUUCCGACGUAUGCCCAACCUCCAGCUUCCCCUCGACCUGCCAAUGAAGGACAACAAAUUCAUUGACGCUCAAAGCAUCGUCCCAAACCACUGUCCUGACCAUGUAAGUAAUGUUUCAUUGUUGGAGUUUUACCGGCUUGAGCAACAUCCUCCUCGUAUUCGUAACAGAUGAAAUGACAUCUCUGCUCACGAGAAAAGCGCUUUGCGCGUCCGACCUAGUGGAAUAGGUACUUUCUACUUUCUCGAACAGAGUCAAGAUGACAAUAAUGGAUUCUUCCUUCUUUGAGUUCCGCUUCUUGCUCGAGAUCGAUCAAAUUGUCUUCAAUCGCCUCCGCUGAAGAACACAGACUGGCAUGAUUGGAUUGAAGCUAGUGGCCUCUGGGAUUGGACUUCUUAUAUACCUCGGCUUUUUUCGAGCUUGGUAACCUCGAGUUUGAUCAGGAAAACCAGCUAUUCGACGAGGCAACAACCAUUCAACCGGAACCAGAAGGCGUGGAUCAUGAAACUACCUAUGAGAACGAAGCCUUGCACCCACCUAACUCAAUUAUAGUUGCUGGGUUGACUAUUGGAUACGGAACAUAGAACUACCAGGGAUCGGCUCAAGUCUGCUAUGAUCUAACCAGUCAAAAUCUAGGAUUUGUAACCGAACGAGAGUUGUUGUUGCGAUUGACUAAUUCUAUUCCAUUUCCAUCCCGCAAAGCAUUAGAUUCGCUUCGCUGGAGGUUAUGAAAUGCAUGCAUAUGCUAAGAAAACCUUCCUACUUAGAACAAGUAAUUGUCGUCGAUCAACCCUACCUUCGGACUCUAUAUCCCUAUCGCUAUUCGCUGGAUCUUCUAAUGUAUAAACUGGAACUUAUGCUUGCAACUUAUAAAUACCUUGACUUUCUUCUUUCGGGCUGGGCUAUAGUCGAACGGAUGCCGGAAUAUUGGUUGACUGGGCCAAUGACGCUCUUUCCGGAAACUCCCUUAAUCCACCUUAGACUCCUUAGCCGGGAGGAAGUACUAGGGUUCGGCAUUCAAUGGCUUUCAAUGUAUGAUUGAUGAUGGGCGUGGAACGACGGCAGAGUCAAACUGGGCUGGGCACUCAGCAGUAGAAGUCUCCGAAUCAAAUCCCUAAUUUCCGUGCCGUAAAGGAAAGGCCGCUAGUCCAGACUAGAGCUGUCGCCCCUUACCUUCCGUAUUAAGCAGGAAUGGGAUUUACUAAACUAACAGCCCCACCAUUCCUUUUCAAAGAAUUCCAUAGGGCAGGGCUCUUACCUUCUAAAACCUUUCACCUUAGCACCAGUAGCAAAGUUCAGUUCGAACCCCAGUUGCUGCCGCUAUCAAAUUGCCUAUGUAUCUGGUAAAGAAAUGCUUUAUGUAAUAUAGGGCGUUGGGUGUGGAAAGGGCUAAAGGAGGCUUGAAGCACCUUACCCCGCGCGGCUCUAAAGGUUUCAAUCAGUCUAUAUAACCAGCAGCUUUCCGGAGGCAGGCCUUAGGUUAUCUCCUUUUUUCGUCUUACCUGGGGACCCCCGCAUUUCUCCCAGUUCUCUGCGCAGUUUGUUGUUGUUGUUCGAGUCUGUCUUCUCUAAGGAUUGAUUGAAUCAAAUCAUACUUGAGAUCGGCUAGGGCACCUGAUCCAGCGUAUUCGUGCUGUCCAACACGAAACAAACCGAGAGACAGGAGGGACGCCUUAGAAAAGCUUUGCACGCAUCUAUUUGUUGAUGAUUAUUGCUUUCUUUCGGUCCCUCUUCGGGUUGUAUCAAUUCCCCUGCGACGGCGACGUUCGAAGCCUUUCACCUUAUUUUGUCUCAUUUCAAAAAUAGGGAAUUUGACGUUGGUCUUUUUGAUUAUAUGGAGGAAAGCAAAAAGAAGGAGUCCCGUCUGUUCACGAAUCAGGAAAGCUGGCAAGCUGACCGCUAACUGCUUCUUCCUAACUAAGAAAGGAGAGCCUCACUGACAUUACACUCCCUUUUGAAUGUGCACCUGAUUCCUACGCAUUCCAACUACAGUAAAGCACUUGAACUUAAAGGGGCAUUGCCGCAAGAAGAAAGGCACUAAUAUUAUGUUAAAAGCACGCAUAGACGCACUAAUGGGCUGGUGCGCAUAGCCCUUUAGACUGACUGUGGAAUUAGUCCGAGGUACCAAUCCUAGAUUCACGUCACAAAUAGCGGAUAAGGUGCAUCUUAUCCUUCUUUCAGUGCCAGGCAAAAAGAGGAAAAGAGCUAGCAAUAAGAGGAGAGCUGGGGAUGAAUCUUGAUCGACUUAGAAUAACUUGGAUAACAUUUGGAUCAGAUUAUUGAUAUAAGAGAUAGGUUCUUUCGACUAGUUCUACUCCUCCUGCUAAUAAGAGAUAGGUUCUUUCGACUAGUUCUACUCCUCCUGCUAAUGCUAGUUACACUUUGAAAGCAAAGAAUCGAUACGUGUGCGCGAAACUCUAAUGACCUAUGGUAUUCUCUGAUCGGCCUAAUCUCGGCAGCUGCAAAUGUUGGGAGCCUAGAGCGGUGAAAACAUGGAUAGGUGUGCCCGGGAAUGAGAUAGAGACAAAGAAGCAUAAUCUAGUGGGGCUUAGCUAGCAAUUGCUUAUCUUGGCUCGGACUUGGAAUACAUUAGGUCGAGUUCAGGGCUUACCAACAUGAGGGAACUAGAUAGGGAGGUGAGUGCCUUUGUUGGCCCGGAAUUCCAUUCUUAUUCGUUCUUCGCUGUUCGUUUCAUUAAGCUUCUGUUAAUAGCCUUGGUCCAGCAUUAGAUUUCGAUCCCGUGGGUCCGGGCAUUCCUUACGGAACUUCUUAUUAUCUUGCAUUUCACUUAUUCUUUUAUCUUGACUUAACUUAUUAUUAGUGAGCUGGGCUCAGCCAGUUAAGAAGACUUCUGGAUUCUAUCUUUCGACAUUUCAUCUCUAUAAAUGGGUAGAGAAUCCCUUUCAUCUCUAUAAAUGGGUAGAGGGCGAAUCCUUGUGUAUUCCACUGGUAUAGAAUCUUUGUGUAUUACUAGGAAGGCGGUCAACUUCAGUCUAGCGGUCAUGGGAAAGCCAUAAGUUGUAUAUAAGAAUUCCUUACAGGGUCGUGAACAAGAAACACGUUCAAGCUCAAAGCUACUGGUUCUGUCAUACUCUAGGAUAUUUCUUUCGACUCUCCUGUUACUUGCUUUCCUUUCUUAACCACACACUGAAAAGAAUUCCAUUAAAGAUGUGCGGCUUCACAAGUGCAGAAAUGGUUCUUAGCCAACGGGUGAUCGAUCGGUUUCGACUCUGCCAGACGGAGACCGGCUUGACCCUAAGGUGGUAAGUCAAUUGAUCCCGAGGGGACGACAGACGCCCAAUCACUUUGUACCCGGUACCAGACUACCGGCCUCACUCAUGGCACACUCAAAGGAUUUGCAUUUCUUAUUGGAUAUGCUAUGCGGCUUCACAUCACAAGUGCAGAAAAGAAAGGAUCUUAGCCAUCGGUGACCGGCUUUCGUAAAAGCACCUUUCUUUGGGCGACAGUUUCUCGAUCAACUAGCUCACGUACAGAAAUCAAGCCAUCCACCAUCAUAUCAUCUACGAGACGAUAUUGUUUGAGAGUGAUUUGGAAUCAAUUGAGUAGUGCGCACCCCUGUAUAACUUAAGGGAGCAAAUUCCAGCAAGGGUGUAAAGACUCAAGUGUCGCGCUUUCCAAAUGUAGCUUCACCAUCUUCGUUCUGCAGCUUUCUGAAGGAAAUGGAAUGUAUCGAAUUGAACUAAUUGCUCUGACUUCAUGUAUCGAAUUGAACUAAUUGCUCUGANNNNNNNNNNNNNNNNNNNNNNNNNNNNNNNNNNNNNNNNNNNNNNNNNNNNNNNNNNNNNNNNNNNNNNNNNNNNNNNNNNNNNNNNNNNNNNNNNNNNNNNNNNNNNNNNNNNNNNNNNNNNNNNNNNNNNNNNNNNNNNNNNNNNNNNNNNNNNNNNNNNNNNNNNNNNNNNNNNNNNNNNNNNNNNNNNNNNNNNNNNNNNNNNNNNNNNNNNNNNNNNNNNNNNNNNNNNNNNNNNNNNNNNNNNNNNNNNNNNNNNNNNNNNNNNNNNNNNNNNNNNNNNNNNNNNNNNNNNNNNNNNNNNNNNNNNNNNNNNNNNNNNNNNNNNNNNNNNNNNNNNNNNNNNNNNNNNNNNNNNNNNNNNNNNNNNNNNNNNNNNNNNNNNNNNNNNNNNNNNNNNNNNNNNNNNNNNNNNNNNNNNNNNNNNNNNNNNNNNNNNNNNNNNNNNNNNNNNNNNNNNNNNNNNNNNNNNNNNNNNNNNNNNNNNNNNNNNNNNNNNNNNNNNNNNNNNNNNNNNNNNNNNNNNNNNNNNNNNNNNNNNNNNNNNNNNNNNNNNNNNNNNNNNNNNNNNNNNNNNNNNNNNNNNNNNNNNNNNNNNNNNNNNNNNNNNNNNNNNNNNNNNNNCUUAGAGAGAGUUGUAUAUAGGUAUUCUAUACCGACCAAACUAAGUAUCCAUCUCCUUACCUUCUGUAAGGGAACAGUGCUAGCUUUCUAGCAGUCUUGGUGCCAACCCAAAAGUCCCGACGUCCCGGUUUAGAUACUGCCAGCUUAUUCCAGUUUUGAACGGUAUACUGGGAACCCUAUUCGAUUUUCAUCGGCAAGACUCACUAGUCGUUCCAAAGAAAGGAGCGAGCAUCUGGCAUAGGCGCCUUUGGAAGGUAUGAUCGGUUCUUUUUUGUACAUGUAGGUUCCUCCGCUGGUUGGCUUGCGCUCUUACUUAGAAGUGGUCUCAGUCGGCAGAAAUCCAUGUUGGGGAUGGACCUUAGCGCUUCCUAUCGAUCAAGAAUCCCUUGCAUAUACAUCCCGUUUUGAGACAGACCAUAGCACUUAACUCAUCAAACCCAAAACAACAACGGCGGGGACAGAACCAUACUCGGAGACAACGGAACGGGUACCAUCUUGUCCUAGUAAACAAACUCCUCAAAAAGAAAGCCGGAAAGUAGGAUUUUUCGCUCUAGCGGUGAUUGCCCCUCUUACCUUCACUUUCGUUUUUGACCUUUAAAGUGGACCUUAGAAAGGCAUUUUCCUGUAGAUUUACGACUGAGAUUUGCGACUGAGACUUCCCUAACGGAAUAAGUCUCAUAACCUGAUCUCCUAUUUUUCCUUUACCGAGAGUACCAUGAAUUACCCAUCUAUCGUGCUAUCGUGAUCAAAUCCCUUUCUGGACUCUGUUCUUCAGCAGUUACCAGUGAGGAUCCCCCAAGGAGGAGGGAAACAUUCUAAAAGAGAAAUAAUGAACAUAAAAAGAUCCAAUUUGGAAUAGUUUUGUUAGAGUUCAAUAGCCGGGAAUAAGGCUGACCUUUCGUAAGUCCAAUACCAUGAUUUCAAACGAGUCUAUACUAGUAGGAAGCUUUUGGUAGUAGAUUGGAGUCAGCAGGCUUAUUAUUUCUGAGCUAGCUUCUUGCAGAUGUCUCAUUACUUCUUCGUGGGACGGAAUAUGAAUGUUGCCUGGAAUUGGGAUGAGGAAAUCGAAAGUGAAUAGCCAGAGAUCCAAAAUGAAUGAGAGUGGUUCGAUAGAGAUUGACCUUGUUCCUCUUGAUUCGGCUGUUCCUUAUAACUCCCCAGAGCCAGAGGUGUCUAUACUGGCAGAGACUUCAACUGAGUAGCAUCUUCUUUGUUCGCUUUAAGGUUCUCUUUCCUGAUCCUUUUCUUUGCCAUCUUGCCGGUUGUAUUUCCUGGUCCUUUUCUUUGCCAUCUUGCCCUGGUCUUAGUGUAUGGGCCAGUGGCCUCAGGAUCAUCAUAACGAGGACUAAAUCUCAAGGGAAGUCCUUCCAAUCCAAGCUUCCACAACCAGAAACUUUCCCAGUAAGAGUACGAGUAAGGAGCGGUCAAGUCUGGCACGUCCUGAAGGAAUCCGAACUGACGCAGGACCCGGCGGGGUAAGUCAAAGAAAGAACGUGGAAGUCAAGCCCAUGAUAUGCACGCAUGAGUUUCCCUCUGUAGUAAUUGACAGGGCUAAGAUAUCCUCACCAUUUACACCACCAUUUUCCGUUUCAAGGAUGCUUCUCAAUUUCCUAUAGUCUCCUCGUCAGUCGGCCACUAUAUCCUUUCUUAUCUAAGAAUGCCUUAAAAGAACUACUCGAACAAGAAGGAACGAGAAUAGAGCAUCUUUCCCUUUAGUCCGGUUCAGGAAAUUAGAGACUAGCAGCUCGUUAGUCUUCCGGGCAUUAAUGCUCGAACUCGAAGAGGAGCCUUUCCAAAAAGCUAUAUUCUUUGAUGUUGGUUCCCCCGGUUCUAUGAAUCAAUCCAACUCGAACUCUCAGAAGUACCAUAUAGUCUCUCCUACAGAAGAGCAAAUAUUGAGACAGUUGAGACCGAUACAGUACGAGACACGACUGAUGACCGAUUGCAUCUUGAAUUCCUUUAAAUAGUUCCGAUUCCAGAUUCGCUGCUAACAAGGGAAAUAAUACUGUCUGAAAUACGGAAAUCGAUUCACUACUUAUACAGUUUACAACAGAACUAGCUAAACUAUGUAUAUCGCAACGGAAGGCUUUAUUAAGCUUUAUUAUCGAUACGUGCUAUAUCUCCUUCCUUAUUUUCUCUCUUGAACAUUCUUUCUACAUAUAAGUUCCAAUAGAUCUUAGAAACUCCAGGUUGACUAUCGAUCUUUCACAGUACAGAUCCGUUACAGUUUCCCGAUUCAAGCGAGAACAGCAAUUCAUUCUGCUAUUCGUAUGUGUACCGAUUUGGAAAUGCUUUCUAAUAAGAAUAGGUCUGUCUAUAGGGGAUAGUAAGAUAUCUCUACGCUAAUAAAAGAAGUGAGUAGACUAGCGGAGCUCUUCUUAUAACUCUUAUGCUUGUAAGUAAGUAACUCUCUGGAAACUAUUAACUGCUUACCUUUUGCUCACCUAGCAGGUUCAUUCUGAAACUACUUAGCGAAAUUCUGUAACCCCGGUAUAUAUGAAAGUGAAUACCCAACUGAUACUUCCACUUCCGUUUCAACACCCAAACUAUACUUUCCUAGGCCUGCUAACAGACUUGAAACAGCGGAUUCUGUUGGGCCUGUUUUCGGCUACCCUAAUUCUUACCUUGAACCGAGUAACACAUUAAUUUCUUAUUGAGCACCAGAUAUAGAUUGUAAAUACACAGCUUCAUAUCUUUAAACUGAGUCUUAUCCUGCAGCGGAUUCUAUUACAGCUACUGCACUGAAUCACUAUUAACUUAUUGCAACACCAGCUUUGCUUACCGCAACACAAUGACUUCUUUCUACUUAUAGCGCUUCAUAAGUCAGGAUUGGUGUUUCAAUUACAAUUCUCUAGAAGUAGCGGGCUGGAUUCCAUAAGUUAGCUUCCAGGGCGAGCAACUGCAAUCAUUCUUUACGCGGCGGGACCCUCUUUCGAGUGUAGAGUGCUGUUAUGUAUUUCUAGCAACCAUCUGGUUUCAAUUCCCUUCGGAUAGCAAGGGAACAGGCGGUUAUUACAGUUCGACAAGCAACUAAGCUAAGAGAAAAGGUUGGAAAAGGGGAACGCCUAUAGGUAGUAUCCGCAUUCCCAGUUUAGAGUUAACAUAUUAGAAGCCUUUGUUUCAUUCCUUCCAGUAGUAGGUUCAGUAUGAGAAGCACCAGCGCCAUUCUUAUAGGUAGCAGUAUCGGUUUAAGAAAAAGUAAAGCCUGACUCAAAGGCAAGGCAGUAAGCCGGAAAGCUAGUAAGUAGCUUAGUUCUCAUAGACAGUAGAGCAAAGAUCCGGGUUUGCUUUUGAAUCUACCUGUGCGGGGGUGUUUUCUUCCUUUGGAUAAAGAAAAGUAUAAUUGGCAUUGGGUUUAGUCUGAGAAGCAAUAGCUGUUCUCCUAAGUAGUAGUUCGACUCUUUGUACGAGUAGGUGUACUCUCUUACUUAUCGGCUCAACUCCUUGUUUGUAGCUCCAUUAUUGUUAGCAGUAGAUGAAUUCCCCUUUUCCAGUUAAAGCGUCAGAGGCACUAGCUCAAGUCUUGCUGGCACCAAUUCGAUUCUUAUAGUCAUUAAUGAAAGCCUUGUUUUUGGGGGUGUAAGGCUUGAUUUCAAGUGAUAGUAUUGCUAGCCCGGGUUCCAUUCUUUGCAUUGGUACUUUUAGUCUCAGAUAUGGUAGUGGAUUUCCCUAUUUAGAGUGAGAGCCUUGCUCGCCGUAGCUUAGCUUUAAUUCCGUAUUGGGUGUGAAAAGCCUUUAUUAUUGGGUUAAGUCCUUUACUUAUGAGUUUAAGCCUUCAAAGAAGCAGUUGGCAUUCUGAUAGUUGCAGUUAAGCCUUGUAAGCAGUAGCCGAAGCCUGUGUUUUUGGAUUUUCUUCUUUUGUUUAUUGGUUGAAGCUCUAUUGAGUGGGGCAAGCCUUAUGAGUUCGUAUUUGUAUUCUUCAUUCAUGGUUUGAUUCUGAUCAGUGUUGGCUCGAUCCCCAUUUCUGAGUUUCAAGUAUCAAAAGCAGUAGCUCUGGCCUGUUUGUCAGUAGAUCGACUCUCUUACCGGUAUUGGUUUGAUUCUAUUAAGAGCAAUACUGUUUCGUUCUCUUACCUUGUUGUAGGGGCUUGUACGUUGCCUGUCGAGUGAAAGUCUGAUCGGUGCCAUGCAAGUUCUACUCUUUCUGCCUUUUUAGAGGAAUGAUGUGAACUUAUUAAGAAGUUAUGUUUACUUCACACCGGCACCACUAGCGAUAACGGGAACUUCAAUAUCACUUUCUUUUUUGAGUGGAAUUUCCCUAAUAAAUAGAAGCAAAAUACUAAUAAAUAGAGUAGGCUUUCAGCACCUUACUUACAGGGAAUACUCAAACUAGCGAACUAGACUCUAGCCAGGGAGUGCCAGACUCAACCCAAUGGGCAAGAUGCAGGAUCUGCCGUUUUAGUGGAAAAGCAAGUUCCGUCAUACUACCCGCGGGGGCGCAUAGUAACUGUUUGUCGUAUUCCAUAUUUCCAAUCUCAUUUUUUGACUUACUUGUUCCAUUCUGUCCUAGCUUAGCGAGGUACCUUAACGAGUUGCAGAUUCACCCAGCAAGCAAUACUCCAAGGUGGCAUUUGCAGAAUAAGAGAGAAAGUCAAAUAAGACUGGAGGUCGGUUCAGAAAUCAAGUCAGUAAGGGGAAGGCUAAUGGGUAGUAGAGCAAGUCCGAGAGACAGGAGAUAUGGAUUGAAAGGCAGUAUAGCAAGAAGAAAAGAUAGGCAGGACUUACUAAGAUACAGUAAAGUAAGCCUGAUGUGUGCGGUGCGGGUUAGUAGAAUCAGAGUAAGCAGGAGAAGAAUCAAAGAGCCGGGAGGUAGACUAAACCAAAGGGCUUCGAGCAUAGAGUAAGAGUCAAAGUUAGCAGCGUUAGUGUUGGAGUUGGGGAGUGCGAACUAGCUGGUAUUAUCAAUUUGCACUUCAAGUCCAAUUUCUCGUUUUAUUUCCUGUGGGGGAGCUGGGGAAUAAGAUAAAGGAAUAUAAGAUUUUCAGAAAGGAAAGUCAGAGUGAAAAACCAAGCAGGGUAAUUGGAAUUAGGUUCCAGUAGUCAAAGAAUAAAAGCUAGUAAAGUUAUACUCAACUAAUAGAAUAAGAAGAAGAGUGUCAGUGCUCUAGAUACAAGUCGGUGCUCUUUGGAUUAAUAUAAGAACAUGGAAUACGGAAUUUGAACCCAGAAAAGAGAGAAUGAAAGCAGAGAAAGGAAGGCCUAGAUACAGUAAAGCAAGGUUUGGAAGCCGAACACAGGCAUAGUAGUACCUUAGCUACCUAGGCACCGCAUCAGGCUUAGCAGCAAUACCUAGCAUCAAUACCACUAGCAUCGGACUGAUGGUGCACUGUUCCAUUCUUUCACUCCCCGGCUUCAUAUCCAUCAUGCUCUCUUUCACUCAUUAGUCUCAGACCCAGAGAGACAGAUAUCUCAUCAAUGGAUUGGCGUAAUCUUUCUACCUAUUGUGGGUUUCCAUAUACAUAAUAGUUUGACUAUUGACUUGGAUUCUACCGUUACUGAGCGCCUUCACUCCUUUAACUAAUGACUUGCUUUAUUGCUUCUUAGAUCGAGCACCUCCCCUACAGGUUGAAACGGACACUGCCUUCUCUCGUUAUUCAACAAACUUUUAGCAUUGAAGUCUAUAGCUCCUCGCUGUAACUAUGGCUUUACCACCUAUUAGGUUUACUAAACUCUCUCUUACUCUUUGACUACUCCUUAGAAGAAUCAGAAUGCGACUACUACUUAUCAGAAUAGAACUCCAAAUCCAAUUCCCCCUCUACUCCUUACUAGAAUACUGACCUAUCUCACUGUAGGCCUAGCCUAACUCCUAUUCUGACUGUCUCGUCUUAACGUCUUGCUUUACUUACUCCCAGUAUACCUUUCCCGGCAAUAAGUCUAUCUUUCCUUUCGAUCAAUCACUACUGCCGAGAAUACUUUAUCUGCUUGAACUUAGCAAUCCAACUCAUUAGUAAGAGAAUUGGACUCAUCAGUCAAAGAACUAAGGAAGUAUUGAACUACGGGAUACGAAGCCGUAUUAGCACCCACAGAGAAAAGUAUGACUAUCAGCAAUAGAAAACGGACCUAGCUCCCUCAUAUACCAAGCCUUAUUGCUUGACUUGAAAACUUCCCCUACUGUACUAGAACCUUACUCGUUUGCCCCUCUUUGCUUUCAAACCAACAACCCUUGUUUCUAAUUCUCCCUUUUCUGCUUCUCGUUCUGCUACUAAUUAAUUCAUUCAAUGCUAAAAAAACCUAUUAUUAUAUAAAGUAAGGCAUUACUUGCUUUUAGGCUUACUUUACUUUUGCUAAGACUUUCGCUACUCACUAUAAGAAUCGAUCUAUAAACAAGGUGCUGAAAGCCUACUGAUAAUAAGGAUUGAACCGAUGCUAACAAGAGAGCAACUACAAAUAGGGAAUCGAGCUGCUGCUUCGGCCCUUUACUUGUUGGUUGAAAACCCAGUGCUUUUCAUUCUUUCUCUAUCGAUCCGGAUCUUAGCUAUCAACAAACACAAAACCCUUUUCUUAGCUACCAUUGCUUGCUUUUAGUCUCCCUUUUCCCCGGCUUGUAGCCUUGCUUUACCGGCUUUGCGUCUACACCACUACUUAGUUGAGGUAUGGCUUCCCUGCCAAUAAGAAUGGAAAGAGAGUAGACUGCAGACAAUAAGAAUGGAAAGAGAGUAGACUGCAGAAUCGCAUGGGAUGAAUCAAAUUAUAAGAAAUACAAAAAAAGCGAAAGAGCCAAGCCACUCAAAAGUAGGAAUUCCAGAAUUAGUUGACAGGACAGAGGGAUAUCUUGAGUUAGAUGAGCCGAGCCUGUAGUUGUAGAGUAGUUUCCAAGGAAGAGCAGCCCUGCCGCGGAACACUAGUAGUUACUUGGCUCUCAUUGAUUGUUUUUCCAAGGUCAGAAACAGAAGCCUACCCAAACCUAGCAACUUGACUAGAGCGUAAGCACCAACACCCGAAACAAUAACAUCUAGCUACCCCGCACCCUAAACUACCCUUUAACACCCAACAAACACAGAUGAAACAGCAAAUCUCUACCCUCAGCCACUCUUGCAACUCUCCCUCUCCUCUGCCUACUAAAUCAGAAAUAUGUAUAAAUUAGUGUAACAGCUAAGGUUUGAAGAUAGCUCUGUCUUUCCUUCCCGUGUUUAGGCAAUAAUAAUUCAUUUACUCUCUCGCCCCUACCUCCAAUAAGUGUUAACCCCGAGCUCUACUUUGAGAAUAGAAAUAGAACAGUAAACUCUAUCUACCAACAUUGCCCUGUAACCUCUAUCUACCGACUCGGGAAAGAAAGUCAAUAACUGCUCCAUCUACAAAUCCAGCUCUUUCCCUGCCCUCUCUUGCUCUUUCAAUUGAUCUAGCAUCUUAUCUUUGAGACUCUCCUUCCUCAGAUCCAGCCCCUGCUUCUUGUUUAGAUCUUUAUACAGCUUAUGCAGCUUACUUUAGCACUGCUUCUCUUCUGAUCCCAACAUCUUCUCGUGUCUACUUAGUGCACACUGCUUCUGAUCUUUACUAUGAUUUUCUUCCUUAGUUCGGAGGUGCAUUAGCUUAGUUUUCUCUUCUCUUAUAGGGCGGCACCGGGUAAUAAGUGGAAUGUGUAUUUAUAAGUUCCAGAGCGGAGCAGGUGGGCAAGGACUUCUAGUGAAAUACCGGGGUCGGGGUGCCCACAUUCUCUUGUAAUCAAUGCAGCUCAUUUCUCUUCUUUUUUCAAUAUCAAUGCAAUGCAGUUUUGCUUCCUUCUAUUCUUAAAGCAACAGACAUAAACAUGUAAGGCUUUCGUUGCCUGUGUUCACGUGAGUCUAGGGCAUCAUAAGAAGAUUCAAUUAAUGCCGAGUUCGCUUGCGCGUUAGUCUGUUUAAGGAUGUAGCAAGCAAAGCAGGUUCGAGUACGGUUGCUCACUUAUAUGACGGUUGCUUUUGUCUAUAAGUAAAGAAAGUAGAGUUAUUCUUUUCUCUUAUAAAGAAGAAGAUUGAAACUGCCCAGCCCACGUAACUAUAUGGUUAGAGUUAAGUUGUAUAGAGAAUCAGUUGUGCGGUAUCAAAAGUGUCUUACGCGAGUCCUUUCUUCGUCGUUAAUAGCUAAAGUGAGUUAUAAGAGUAAACCACCUUUUAUUGAGACUUUACUUACUCACCUGCUCCAUCUUUGGCUUCUUCUUAUUCUGUUGUCGACUUAGGCUACUCAAUUAGGCCUUUCUCUUCGCCUUCCGGGAGUAUAUAGUGCCCCUAUAGAGUAUAUCUGACUUCUACUCACUGUAGGUAACACUUAGAAUCCGGAAACCAGCUCCGACUCCUUAUUCUUUACCUGUUGAUUCUUCUGAUACAUCUUAUGCUGACAGCUUUCCUAGCAUAGCACUCAGAUCUUGUCCACUUAACAAGUCCAGUUUUCGUGUUUGUUUGAUUUGCCAGUGAUAUGGAAAUCCCAUUCUUACUUGAGAGCACCAAGUUCUGGUAUAAUAAACAUAGUCAAGCUGGUAUAAUCAAAUAGUAAAGACACUGAGCGCACAAGCACUUCCUCCCCUGUUCCUGUUUCAUCGUCCUCAAGUCUUGUUCGGGCAAUUAGAGAUUAUGUGAAAUGCAAUGCUAGGCGUAUAUUGCGCUUCGUCGUUACGAUAAGAUAAGCAGUUAGUGUCAGUUUCCAUUUCCAUUUCUUGCUCUCAAGAUUCCAUAAAAGGUGGACUCGGCCCUAAAGGGAGUUACAGAACUUGAACUCGUAUUCCACUAUCACCUGCGACACGACCCUCAACUGAACUUACCCACUACUCGGGAAAGAAAAGCACCAGAAGGACUUUGAAGCGAUGUAAGUCAAUAAUGUUGUCAUAGGAUAGGAUGGGCUUGGAAGAGAAAAUCAAGGUUGAAGCUGCCCUAAGCCAAAGGAGAAGUCAAAGAAAGCUACUGCACCACUAACUAAAGAAGAGAAGGGCCAAGUAAGCAGAUGUAGUGAGGCCAAGGUACUACUAAACAAGGUACUCUUGCUAAAGCCACUCAAAAGGAAGAAAGUAAGUAGAUACCGCUUGCUCAUAGGCAAUAGAGGGAUCGAUAGUUAUAGAAGGUUAUAGAAUCCAAGUAAGCUUUACGGGAACGAAAGUCCAUCUGGACAGACUGAUCGGCAUGGUUGUAAUAAUAGGGGUGUGGUGGGCGGUAAUGAGACUCAAAGUAAGGAAUGUUAGGCCUAUCUCUAGUGGAUCGGUAUACUUUGCUCUGUGCCAUCAAGAAAACGAGUAUAGCAUUUUAGACGGAAAGGCAUAGUCCCCAUUUUGAGUGCAAUUCUUAUAUAGUUGCGUCUGACCUUAGACUGACUUGUUGAUUUUGUACUACUUGUCUUGAGACUCGAGAUUUGUUUCCUAUCCUAUAGUAGUUGAUUGCCUGUGUUUGGGUAGUCGUUUUCCCAGUGCAAUUAUGAUACAAGGUAUGAUACCAAGGAGCUCGAUUCUAAGAAAUAGUAAGUAGUUGGCUUCAUAGGUGGUUUGGAGUAUUAGAAGCGCAGGUUUGAGUUUGCCCCCGGAUCCGGAGUCUUAUAAUGAAAGGAAGGGUAAGUGAAAUAAAGAUUUGAGAUCAGAAAUAGCGGACUACAGCUAAGAAGCUGGAGAUACUUACCGGGGUGGGAGCAUUAUCAUACUAAACCAUAGGCAUAGGCAUUGGGAGAGCUCUGGUGCUAACUACUGGUUUUGAUGCAAGGUGCUGAGAGCCUGAUAAGCAUCAGUGAAAUAAUUCAAAUAAGUGUGGUAUAUAGUAAGGUUUAUAGCCGGUAGCGAGAGCCACCAAGCAACUACUAAUGUUGCGCACCAAGCGCCGGCCAUAAGACUAAGUGCGGUAGCAACAAUAAUAGGCCAAGCAACUACUAACGACCGCCAAGACACUACUAACGUGGCGCGGCAGUGAGUUUUAGGCGGCGCAAGACGUUGGGCGGUAGCAACAGUAAUAGAUAUUACAAGUUAUAACAAUAGAUGUUUUUGGGGCCGCUCCACUCUUUUAAUUACAAUAGAUGUUUUUUGGAGCUUCAACUUUGUUCGCGUUACGCGGCAGGCGUUCUCCACACAAUUAUAUCUUUUCCUCAUUGCUUAACACAAGCCACUAAACCCUAGUAAUAGGAAGGAAACAAGCCGACCCGCACUAACUCUAUCAGAAGGCCCGACCUCUUCUCUUACCUAGGGCAACCAUACCUCCAGCUGUUCUCUUCUCUUUCUUGCUCUAGUAUAUGCUUGCCUACUUGCUAUGUGUUUUCAGAAUGAAGUGAAUUGUAGUAUUGAAUAGAGGCACCCCACACCCCAACAAGUAACUGAAUGACACAAGCCUACCCUAAAAGAUGGUACUCUCGACUACCCGAAGAAGGUACUCUCUUUCUUUUGACUACCCGACCCCCAACUAGGCAAUAGGCACAACUUCCCGACCCUAACAACAAAAGAAUCCGUUUCGUUUUCACAGGGGUGUAGCAAGUCUUGUUUUAAGGAACUCCGCCUCUUAAUCAACAAUGACUAUUCCAUACGAGACUCAACAUCAUUUCCUCGCACCCUCUGGAUACGAGUGUAAUUGAAUUUCCUCGCGCAACUUAUGAUCCUUAUUCUGCAGCCGAUGAUCCUUCUUCUUCAGUUGGUGUUCAGUUAACUAAUAUGGAUAUUGCAUUUUCUCUUUAUUACGCGCAUCCCGAACUUGACUCUCAUAGUUGCUCUAACCUUACUCGCACCUUCGCAUUCAAAAAGGGAAGGAAGAUACUAUUGCCGGGUCUACUGAACCUGAGCUGUCAACCAGAACCAACCUAUCCCCACUUAGAUUUCAGAAUGAAAGAAACAAGCAACUUCCUCACCUGUUCCUACUAAUGAUCUUUCAACUGAAACCUGCUGAUUCAUAUCUUAUUGCAGGAAAAUCUUUUAGCUAAGCCUCUGAUUCCCUAUCUGAUUCCCUAAUAACUGUUUCUUUCCCGAUACCCAACUCUUUCAAAACUCUAUCUGGAUCUGGCAAAUCACUUGUUGCUGAAGAUCUUUAUGAUGAUGCUUAUCCCGCUUCUACUCCUUCCUCUUCUCUGACUUCUUUAUAUAAACAAAAACCUAAGCUCUUAUCUGGAUUCGAUUCUUCAAUUAGAUUCUGUCAAACAGUCAAUUUUCAUCGACUUUCCUCGGGCUGAACACCUUUGAUGAAACAAGGGAUUCAAGUAUAACUACACUUUCUGAACCAACAAGACAAACAACAUUGUCAACACCUAGAUAUCUUCUAGCUUUAGAUCCUGCUCUACCACCUAUAACUGCUGGAUCCGCUCUAACUGCUUCCUUUGCGGGCUUUCGAGUGUACUCUCCAGUUACAGAAUUGAAUACUACUAAAGGGUGUCUUUUAUUGAAUUGGCAUUUGCCGAUCCUGCUCUUUCUUCUUUACCUGUUAAAGAGAUCUUUUGCUUUCUUUAUAUAAGUAAGGGCAAAAGGCUUUCACGCCACAAAACAAACAUUUACCGAUUAAGUAGGGCAGGACAGUUUCUCAUUCAAUAAACAAACACAAAUAUGAAUUGAACAUUUGACUGACAAAUAGUAAGUAAGCGCACAGAAUCCACUUUCAUUGUAAACUCCCGUCCUUUGAUUCUGGUUUGUGUCUCUAUCAAUAGCACCCUACUGCCUCUAAGGCUUUAGUUCACAUCUUUCACUCUAACUGCUCAGCUAUCAAACUACUCCCCAAAGGGAUAAGAAUAAAGAAAGGUAUAAUCUAGUCAGUUAAGAAUACUCGUAGCUAAAGAAAGAGUAAGUCAAAUACAAGAAAAGAAUGAUAUCCUGUAAAGGAAUACUAAACAUAGGACUUGAGCUCAAUGAUAUGGGUUUGAAAAUGAAAUAAGUAGUUCCUGUUUGGAAGCAAGGAUAGUCAGUAGAGAAGUAAGCAUGCAAGACGGGAUAGGCAGAACGCAACUAAUUUGUACAGGACUGGUUUACGCUCCUAGAGAAUAAGAGGGUUAUGAUCUAGGGUCUAGUAAUAGCCUCAAAGUAGUUAGCAUAAGAGUAGCACUCAUUAGCAUAGGAUGGGACUUCCACUCACGAGUUAUAAUUGCACAGGAUUUCACCCAUCAGUUAAAGAAUGACCCGCUAAUAAAGAUAACUUAAUAAAGAGAUAACAAGAAUUCACCCAACCUCAGCUGUCCAAGUCGUACUCUUGAGUUUUUUCCUUAUUGCCCGGUCUACCGCUACUUGCUUUCGUUCUCGAUAUCCUGCCUAUCAUCCCUCUAUUCUAUAAUAUUGAUUAAGAUAAUGUGUUGACUCGCGCAGCCUAACCUAUACGAAACGGGCUCCCCCACAAGAAUUGACCUCUAGCCUAGGAAUAAGUAGACUUGCGCCCCCACACAAGAAUUGACCUCACUCUCACCUAUAUAUAGUAUCGAACCACCCUCUCGAACCAACCUAUAGGGAAGAAAAUGACUACUCAUGGGAACUGCACUAGGAACAUAGAAUCCAACUGAUGCUACCAAUACUGAAACUUGAGGGGAUCCGACCACUGCUUCUUAGACUGAAAUACCUGCUAGCUCAAUUACAUCGACCCUCACUUUAUUGAUUUAAGACCGGCCAAGUAACUACGUCAGUUACGCGGCAGUCCCUCCCUACCUUGCUUUAUUGAAGAAACUAAGUGACCUUUAUUAAAGACAUCAUUCAUAGCAUAGGAUUAAAGACAUCAUUAAUAGAUAGAUCGGACCUCACUAAGAAUAGAUAGAUCGGACCUCACUAAGAUCAGAGGUAGGUAGUUUAGGUGGGUUGGGCAAAUCAAAUAAGAAUAUGAAAUUCUAGUAAUAGAAACUAUGUGUUACGCCCUAUGUUUUACGCCUAUAAGAAAUGUAAAGAAAAGAUCUAGUUUUGAUAUUACAAAUCAGAAUUUCCAUUAGAAUGAUAGUAGAGUAUAACCUAUGUGGUUACGCCUAGAGCCAAGUAAGCAGUGUCAGAGUGAAGUGGACAAGUAAGUUUCGUAAUGAAUAAAGUAACCUCUCCUACCGCGGAAAACAGGACUCGCGGACGAACAAAGGAAUUGAGGAAGUUUCAUUUAGAUUGCUCAUAUAUUGACUAUGAUUCUAUUGGGAAUAAGAAUAGCUAGUGCGCCCACCGGGACCGGGGAAGAAGAUGAUCAUCUAUUCGUCCUUUGGGGGGAAGACCUCUAUUCGGGGAAGAAUCUUAGGAGUCGUGCAUGAAGAAGAACAAAAGCAAGAAAAAGUAGAGUUUGCUAUUUACCCCAUCACUGAUCUUAAAGAUCCUAAAGAACCUGCCUCAUUCAAUAGUAUCUUUCUAUUUGUUUGUAUGAAAGAAAGAAAGGAUUUAGCGCGGCGCUGACCUUCACACUCGAAAGGCGCAGGGGUUUAGGCCGAAGAGCUGUAAGUCUUGGCAUCUAAAGAAGGAAGGGAUUGAUUAGAAGAGAAGUCAAGAAGCAAGAGAUUGAUUAGAAGAGAAGUCAAGAAGGAAUAAGCAAGCCUACUCUCCAAGCAUUACCCCCGCCCUCGGUGCCUUCCCUUUGAUUCUUUUGUUUCCACAACCUGCCUCAGUAAGCUUUUAUUUGAUCUAUCUCCGCGGGUCACAUCACAAACCUUCUCUGGUCAGCUUUUGCUAGGAACCCCAGAAAGGCAAUUUGCUGUAGAAGGCAUUCAUUGACAUCCAUAUGCCAUUGUAGAAGUGGAGUAGCAAAGUCAGCGGAGCGGGAAAGAAUCAAUGUCUUAAGCAAGAGCCAGAGUUCAAGCAGGGGAAACAAACGGGAAAAGAAUCAAUGUCUUAAGCAAGAGCCAGAGUUCAAGCAGGGGAAACAGGGAAAAGUGUCGGGGUGCGUUAGAUCACAAGUAGAAGGUAUUUCCACUAAUAAAGCUAGGGCCAUAAUUAUUUACGCGGAACAAGCAACGUUCCAAACUUUUCAUGGGAGGUUCGCCCGUGAGCUUUGGAUUGGAGCUUCCUGCGCUGCUAAUCAAUUCGUUCUACAGGCAUUGCUCUUACCAUAUUCCAUAUUAUAUGAUUUGACCAUAUUCCAUAUUGUAUGAUGAAACGCUAGUGUUGUCUAUUUGCCAUUACGCGUUAGCGAGAAUCUAAUGUCAUGUUGCGUGUUAGUUCAGGGAGGGGUUCAGAUGUUCUAAAUUCCAAGUCUACUGUGAGUAUGCUUGCUGUGGUUAGUGACUUUUGUGAUACACUGUGCACACCCUAUGUGGUUAGUGACUUUUUUGAUACACUGUGCACACCCUAUAUGAUAUUAUGGAUUUUCACCCUUGCGCUAAUGUGAGUUUAGGUUUCUUCCGUAGCUUUCAGAAUUCCAUAUAUCUCGCCUCGCAUAUUCUAUAAUAGAUGAAUAAGGAUAAUAAAUGAAUAAGGUCUAUAAUAGAUGAAUAAGGAUAAUAAAUUAAUAAGGCACUGCACUUGGAGCUGGUCUACAAUAAAACACUGCACUUAGAGCUGGUCCACUACUACGGGCAGGGCUCGCUAACAAGCUAGGGCGCUGAAGGGAAUAGACACAAGCAAUGUUAACUAUAUUCAUAAGAAAUAGUAUUGUAUAGAACUAGUUAUUAUUGAGGAAGAGGUGAAGCAGUGUUGGCACUUGUCAGGUCAUCCGCAUAAUAGCCUGACCGAAAGUAAUCCGUGUUUGCGACGAGAGAAAGAUAAUCCGCUUCAGCCGAAGAUGAUCUAGCUCGAAGAGAAUACCCACUACACGCUUAAGCAGUGCUAGGAAAGUAUUAGAGAGAGAUAGGUUUAGGCAAUUCCAUCAAUAUAGGAAAAAUCUAUAAGAUGCACCUACCUAUUUAAGGAAGCAGUAAGGUCAAGUUCAAUAAUGAUUAGUUGGCUCGGCACUAAUGGAAGUUCCAAAGUGUCCAUUUCUUUCUGUUCGCCCAGUGCUGCUUGUUUAAUCCUGCUAUGAAUCCAGUUUCAUCCUAUUAAGAAGGCUGUGCCUGUAAAGUCGACUCGAUCAUCAGCUGUGCAAUUCAAGUAUCUCGGAAAGCACUCGAAAGACAGCGAUCGCCGGAUAUAGACCUAAUAGCAUUGCUUUUGUUUCCUUAACCUUAUAGCCGCCUUGUCUUGCCCUGUUACUAGUUCUUGUAAACUAUCUGAUUCUUUCACGUAAUCACCCCGGCAACACGCUCCUCCUAGCAUCAGUGAUAAAACAAAUAGGCUAUAAAGAAUACAGUAAUAAAUACAGAAUACAGUUAAUAGAGGCUAUAAAGAAGAGAAAGUAAUGAAACUCAGAGGUAAAUAAACACUGAAUAAAGCUCAAAUCCUCUUUUUGUUAAAAACUAAAGAAAGCCUGCUCCCUGUUGCGCGUUUGUUAGGAGUUACGUGAACUGAACCCCCAGAUUGAUUCCACGCUUACCUCUUACUUCAAGUUAUGAAUGAAAUGGAAUCCCCUCUUGAGCACGCACAUGGUAUAGAAUAUAAGGUAUGUAAAGACAUAACAACUUGUUUACCUUUGACUCUCAAUCUUUGAAUUGAAUGGAACCGCUUAGUCCUGACUGCUUCCUUCUAAGACUCAAUACUUUCCACUUUCCACUUACCUUUAGAUACGAGCAAUAUAGUAGCUGAUCGGACCACUUUCUACUUACCUUUAGAUACGAGCAAUAUAGUAGCUGAUCGGAUUAGAUUCAAUUAAAGGCUUUACGCGGAGUAUGGCCUUGAGCUACCUUUCAUUAAUGAAUCUCUCUCUCGCACAUUAGAUAUUUUAUAGAGUAACAACACCCUCGCACAUUAUAUAUUAUAGAGUAACAACAACUCACUCCACUCUGAAACGGUGGUCCAAGCCAAACUUAUAUAUGAGCGUCCAUGGUUUAGGAUCACAACUCUUUAGCACCACUCACUAUAUCCGAGUUCUUAUUUAUAGGUGAAUGCUUAGUGGCUUUCAUAAUGGAAUUGAACUGACUUCUAAUAGACCCACGUAACUCACGUAAGCGCAAGUAAAAGAAUGAGACCCACGCCACUCACUACAGCGCAAGUAAAAGAAUGCAUUGAAUCCAUCUAUUGGUGCUUAGCGCCCGACCUCUAUACUUGAGAAGUUCUGCAUUUCAUUACCUCUAUACUUGAGAAGUUCUGCAUUUCAUUGAUUUAACAGUGAAGGCACCUUCGGUAGAGCAAGUAAGGUUAUCUUACCCCCUGACUCCUGUAAGCCCUGCAUUUCUAGUGUCGUACGUGGGCAGAACCUCGCAUUAGCACUGAGUCUUGUAAAUGACAUAAGAAGUACACACUCAAUUCUGAAUACAUUACUCGGAUCUUAAAGUAAAGCAAAGGCGUAGUAAGUGAGCGAGUUGGACCUUGUGCUAACGUGAAUUCUGAAGAUUUAGAUCUACCCGUUGCUUGUUCAGAAUACAAUCUUGCAGGAAAAAAGGCUUUCAGCACCUUGUUUUCGCCUGGAGUAGUAGGUUAUGUUUUAGUUUCUUUGCCAGUUCCAUAAAUUGAUUAAGCCUCUUCUUAUCUAUCGUAGACAACAAACACUUUAUACCUCAACUGCGGAUCUUAUCUUAGAGACUUGACAAGCACAGCUCAUUCUUUAGUAUAGUUGACUUUCUCAUUAAUGGUAAAGGCAGCUUCUGAUUGGGAUCUUGCUUCCGCUUCAUAAGUAAGGGCUCAUAAGGCUUUCCUUCAUCUUUAUAAUCGUUUCACCUAUGCCUCUGUUCCACUCUGCUAAUGUAAAGAAAAACAAACCUAUACUAUAUGCCUCAAUCAAUGAGUUAUCGAAGCUAGCAAUGCCCUCUUAGAUUCACUUGUUUUAUCAUAGGUGCACCCAAACCGCUAACGCUUAUUCUCUCUUCCACUAUCCACUAUAUCAGCUCUAGGGGCGCUAAGGCGAGCUAAACUAUGAAACUUGCAUUGAGAACACAUAUCUUCCAAUAUCAAUAAAAAGUAGGAAACGACGUUAUGAACCGCAACACUAAUACCCAAAGAAACUCUAGAAGAAGCGAUGUUGCCCAUUAGCCACAAUUAUAGUAGUAACUUGGAGCUUCUCGUUGAUUCUUUUAAUGAUUUCUUCUUUACCAACUCGACUCCUUAGUGAAGUUGACUCGGUUCCGGCGAGUUUCAUCAGCAAAUAUCUUCCGCGAUUUCGACUAUUAGUACUUAACGCUAACUUAUUCGCUGGAUUUCUUACCAUGUUGAUACAAAACGGAUUUGAUUCUAGGCUGGUCUACUACAAAUGGUUUGAUGAAAACUAUCCCGAUAUUGAGGCACCGUCUGCUAACUCUCCAAACAAACUGGAUUUAGCCCCCUAUCCACGGACUCUCCCAAUUGAUUUCAUUUAGGUACCAUCCAUCAAAAUACCACUAGAAUAGGCACCAUACCAUCUUCUGAAAAUACAACUAUAGAAUCAAGGAUACAACUACAGGAAUAAGGUAGGAGCGAUCGGAAUCGGAGGUCGAUACGGAGGCCUCUAUAUACGUAAUCCAUACAAAUACGUAAGAAAUACAACUUCUAUAAGUAGGAUUUCACCCAAGAAGUAUAAGAAGUAGAAAGCAUGUCAGUUUCGGGUGAGCAAGGGUGAUUCGCUUCUCAGACACCGAAGCAGCCUAUCGAAAAACAGAAAAGAAUAAGUUGUCAUGGAAAUGCCUUUUGAUCUCUAUUUUGACUCUAAUUAUGUAUUGAUUGUAUUGAUAAAACAGAGAACUUUUUCUAUAUGAUAAUAUAUGCUUAACCCAGCAACAUUCCUUUACGAGUAAUAGAUCCUUCCUUGUCUUUACAAGUAAUAGAUCCUUCCUUGUCUUUAUUAUUUCAAUCAAAAAGCUACAUCUGAAAGGAAAGGAAACCACGAGAGAAGGUAUAUAAUAAUUGUUGGAUAUUGUUUGAUAGUGAUAUAUUGUAUAUUAUCAUGAUCCAUCUUUCUUUCCUCCACGUAUCGAUGCGCAAAACACACAUGCUAUUUCCUUACUUCCCCCAAUCAAUGCACUAAACCAAUAAACUAAUAGAAUAUAACCCCAAUCAAUGCACUAAACCAAUAAACUAAUAGAAUAUAAUUAAGUAGAGGCACCCCCGCCCGAUGCAUGAACUAUGGUGGUCCGUCCUACUAUGAUGCACGAACGAACGACCGAACAAUGAACGCUAUGCACGAACAAUAGAUGCACGCACGAACGACCACCCGACCCGAUGCAUGUAGCGCUGUCGCCCUUAGUUUCUCCCUUUAGUAUGUGUAUGGUGUUUUCGUUUCUGCCUCGGAUAGACAUCCAGUGCGGACUCGUUUAGCCUAGCCGAUCAAUCACUUGUGAAAGAUAGAUGGAGCUCCUCUUUGCCUUGCCUUGGAGUAGGAUGGAAAAGCGGAGAAGGUAAAGCCAAAUAAUCAUUUACAUUUGAUAGAGAGGUACCUAUUGCUUUUGGUAAAGGGGAAGCUCAAUAAUAAAGUAUAGAACAUUGCCUUAUUAUUCCUAGAUGUUGGUCCCUAGGGCUAUAGUAAGUCAAUACCAAAAUAACGGUUGGGACAAUAAAAGAGUUAUGAUUUUCAAGAAAGUAAGGGAGGAGCCAAAAACGACUAUACAUUAUUGACCCCAAAGAAAGAGACUUCUUAUUGACCGGGGCACCCUAACACAUUACUAUAGUGAGUUUGAGGCACCGUUAUGAAGUUCUUUUUGACUGCCCGCAACUGGUAAUGAAUUACUACUAUAUACAUUCUUUCCCGAUAAUGAAUUACUACUAUAUACAUUCUUUCCCGAAUCUCAAUAGAGAGAAAGAAGAGGGUUCGCAGUGUACUCAUCUAAUGAGAUGCAUAGAAGAUCAAUGUAGGGGGGAGAGGGCAUAGAAUUUCCAUAGAGGGUUCGCAGUGUACUCAUCUAAUGAGAUGCAUAGAAUCCAAUUAAGGGACACAGCUAUCUACCAUUACGUGGGGCCAUUCUUUUCAAUACAGAAUUAUUGACUAACCUGCUCCGUUAAGUACAUGGAGGCGGGAAAGGCUUCAGUAAGAUGUGUUAGGUUCCAUUCCAACUAUGAGCUUAUAUCUGUGGCAUCCAAUAGAAAGAAAAGAAAACGACCCAUAUACACAUAACCUAUGAGCUUCUUGAAUAACGCUCCCUUAUCAAUGUGAAAGGCUGUGCUUGUGAUUCAGUAUAGGAGAGGUGUUUGCUACCGAUAUGUGAGUAAAGGCUUACUGUGCCGAGAUGCUAUUUCAGAUAGAAUAUUGGGUUGGGCUGCCCCUAUUCCGAGAGUCACAUAUUGGGUUCAGUUGCCUAUAGGAUAUCUUGUAGUUGAGUAAGCUCCCUAUUGCCCGUAGUCUGCUUUAGGAAGUAGGGCAGCGAGCAACAGAACAGGUCAAUGUUGGUUUCUAAGCUCAAAUGCAUUGAAAUAGAACAAGAAACUACAUAUUAGCUGAAGACUACUAAACGACAGGAAUAGCCUGCUUAACGGAAUAGCCUGCUUAACGGACCUGACUGAACUACUUGAUGAUUUCUACCUUUAGGCUCUUCUCUUAUUCAACGUUUCUACCUUUCUUUAGGAUGAGGAUUUUCUCUUCUCUUAUUCAAUGUUUAUACCUUUCUUUAGGAUUAGGAUCUUCUCUUCUCUUAUUUCUACGUCUGAAGCUAAGCAGUAGUUGUCCGUUGCAAGUCUAGAUCGCAUUCAAGAAAAGGCUUCCCAUGGCAAAAGAAAGGGUCUGAUUUGGAGAAGCUGAUAAAAGGGACGAAGUAAGCGCAUAUAUGGGGAUGCCCUAAAAUGGGUAUAGUUGUCUUUCUAUGUAUAAUUCUUUCUAUGUGCGAUAGGUGCAAAGAACCGAGACUGGAAAGGAUAGGGCAUCUCAUACAAUCCGAGACCUGACUCAAACACCGACCCCCUUUACUCUACCUUAAAGCUCUAACCACUUUUAUUCGAACAAAUGUAGAACCAGAAUGGAUGGUUUUGUGCUUAUUACCAGUUCUUCCUCCCGAGUAGAGUUUAGACCAAUCAUGGUUAUGGGUAGGUCCAAAAAGCAGUUUGGAUAUUAAUGGGGACUCUAUAGACGAGGUAUCUAUAAGAAUCAAACUAUUACCGAUCUAUUAGCAACAAGUAGAUCUACGCCAGGGGAAUUAGUAAUGUGUCAGGAGAAAUUGGUACAAGAGGCCGUGGAUACACUUCUUGAUAAUGGGAUCCGCGGACAACCAAUAAGGCAUGGUAAAGUGAAACAACCAAUAAGGCAUGGUCAUAAUCAAAGUAACAAGUCAUAUUCUUUCUUUUUAGAUGUAAUUGAAGGCCAAGAGGGAAGGAAGAUUUAGUUAGACUCUCUCUGCUUGGUAAACGUGUCGAUUAUUCGGGACGUUCCGUCAUUGUCGUGGGUCCUUCGCUUUCAUUACAUCAGUGUGGAUUACCUCGAUUAAUAGCAAUAGAGCUUUUCUUUUCCAAACAUUUGUCAUUCGUGGUCUAAUCAGACAACAUGUUGGUUGCUUCUAACAUAGGAAUUGCUUCAAGUAUCAAAUUCGGGAAAAAGAACCCAAUGUAUGGGAAAUACUUCUGGAAGUUAUGCGGGGGCAUCCUUGAUUAUAGAAUAGAGCACCCACCCAGCAAAGAUUAGGCAUACAGACGGAUCUAAUCUACGUGGCCUAUUUUUGUAGAGGGACGCGCUACUUGUUUACACUACCUAUUUAUUAGUAUGUUCGAUUGGUUUACACCAUCCAUAUCUAAGUAUGUAAGGGCGGGCCGGGUCAUAUAUAUAGUUAUGAUAGGGCAUACUUUGAUGGGGAUCAAAUGGCUGUUCAUGUACCUUUAUCUUUGGAAGCUAAAGUGACGGCUCGUUUGUUUACUUAUGUUUUCUCAUAUGAAUCUCUUGUCUCCAGCUAUUGGGGAUCCUAUUUCCGUACCAACUCAAGAUAUGCUUAUCGGACUCUAUUUAUUAACGAUACGAUCGGGAAUGGUCGAGGUAUUUGUGCAAAUAGCUGCCAUCCAUAUAGAGAUAGUUGCGGAAACUACCAAAAUCAAUAAGUUUACAAUAACGGAGGUAUACGAAAAAGAAAGAACCCUACUUCUAUAGUUCCUAUGAUGCACUUGGAGCUUAUCAACAGAAACGAAUUAGUUUAGAUAGGUCCUUUCUGAUGAUGGAGACUAGAUCAACGUGUCAUUGGCUCAAGAGAAGUUCCCAUCGAAGUUCAAUAUGAAUAUUGUGGUACCUAUAAUGAGAUUUAUGGGCACUAUUAGUAGUAAGUGUGAAUAAGGCAAUCAAGUAAGUAUAAAUAAAUAGAUUGUAAAUUGGUCAUAUUUCUUUUGAUCGAGAAAUAGAGGAAGCAAUACUGGGGUUUUGUCGAGCCUACUCAUAAGCUAUCUAAACUAGGAAAUCUUAUUAGGCGAUGUUAAGGUUAAUAGUUCAGAAUGGCAUAUACAUGACAUAUCUUGGCUUGGAUAAAGUAAAGAGGGUUUCCAACAAGCAAGCUGCAUCUAUGGAAUUAGAGGAAUUGAUGAUCUUUUGACAAUCCCUUAGAAAAGAUGCUUAGUACAAGACGCUGAACAACAAAGUGGGAUUUAGGAUAAACACCAUCAUUAUGUACCCGCGGUAUCAAAAUGACGUAAAUCCAUUGAGAUAUGGUAUGCUACAAGUGUUGAUUUGAGACAAGAAGAGAAUCCGGACUAUUACAUAUACUGCUAAUAGAGUGGUUUAUAUCAUGUCCUUUUCAGGAGCUAGAGGAAAUGCAUCUCAGAUACGAAAAUCAAAGGUAUUCAAGGAUUGAUGUCGGAUCCCCCAAAGACACAUUAUUGAUUGAUUUACCCAUGCAAAGCUAUUGUAGUCAAGCACUUUCUUUUCAUUACUUGAUAGAGGAAUAAGAAUCAUUAUGGAAUUGCCUGUUAUGGAGCCCGCAAAGGAGUUGUAGAUACUGCUGUACGAACAUCAGAUGCUUGCUUUUUUGAUACCUAACAAGUAUACAAGUUUCAGUAGUGAAACAUCUAAUUGUACGUAGAACUGAUUGUGGCACUAUACGAGGUAUUUCCGUGAGUCUUCAAAAUGGGGGAUGACAGAAAACAUUUGUGUCCAAACACUAAGGGGUCGUGUAUUAGCAGACGAUAUCAUUCAUUUAGAUAGCUAGAGGUCUAUGAUGCCUUGCCACUCGAUAUCAAGAUAUGGGGAUUGAACUUGCCACUAGUUUAUAUGGGUCUAUGAUGCCUUGCUACUCGAUAUUCAUUUAUGGGGAUGGGAUUGAACUUGUAAAUUGCCUUUCAAGCACAACUAUUGGGAUUGAACUUGUAAAUCGAUUCAUUACCUUUCGAUCACAACUAAUACAUAUAUGAUAACACCUAUAUUAGAACCGUGACUUGUACAUAUAUGAUAACACCUAUAUUAGAACCUUGACCACCCCCUUGACUUGUACAUAUAUAUAUAUAUGAGAACACCCUUGAUACAUAUAUGAGAACACCCUUUACUUGCAGGAGUACAUCUUGGAUCUGCCAAUUAUGUUAUGGUCGGAGUCCUACUCAUGGCGACCAGGGCUUCAACCCGAGCAUACAAGAAUGAAAGAAAGGCUUAAAUGUCGAGCAUAGGGUUUUGAAGGCAGUAGCUUCAGAAUUGAAGUAAUAGGUCUAAGGCGGAUCCCCCCCAGCACAGUUUCCGGCUAAGAGUCAAGAGUGGCAGGCCCAAACUAAUAAGCAAGAAUACAACGUAAGUUUUCAAGUAAGCAGUGGAACAUCAAUUCUGUAUUGAUUCUUAUAACAUGCACCGCUACGCUACUCCAGCAACUGAGUGAACUGUCAGCCAGUUGUAGUAGUCUCCUUAUUCUGAGUUUCGAUUUGGAUUCUAAUAGCCCUACCUCGAUCCUGGAUCUUAUGUUUCGUUGUUCAAUACUGAGUUAAUUAGUUGUAAUCUGAUAGUAGUGAUUGCAUUCCACAUUCCUGGUUCUAAUAAGUAGCGCUAAGCUUGAGCGUUGAGUUGAAUUCCCGAGUGACCUGUUCGAUUCUUAUGCGGUUGCCCGGUUUUUCAUUCUCCAAAUAGUAGUUGAUAGCCAGGAAAGCCAUACUUCAAGUAAGGACACUGGGGGUCAAAAUCAUAAUCGAAAGUAAGCCUUACACUAGCAAGCAAAACUCUAAGCAUGAGUUGGUAGCUAGGAGCCAGGAGCGGUGGACUCACUUCUCGGGGAGCGAGGACAGACUCAAUGAAAAGCAGUAUAGUGGUAGGUUUGAGACAAGAGCCAAACACUUAGUUACAGGAAAAGGAGACUGAGAGACAGUUGCCUGGUGACUCAAACUAGGGAAUGGAUGCCCGGAGCCCAAGAGUUCAAAACAGGAGAGGCAUACUUCAACUGGAGAUAGGGGCAGUAAAAGAGUCAAACUAACAACUCCACUAAUAAGUCAAAGAAGCAAACUACUACUUGUGAGAAUCCAACAGGGGAUAAAAGAUACCGGGCCAAGGAGACCCGUCUAAGAAAACUCAUACUAAUACAAUACCUGGAAAGCAAGAGCCCUCGGACGCAGAAUCAGAACUAGACCCGACCCAGUAGUAAAAGACCAAGCCUUACACCUUACCAUAAGGAACAAGCCCCGCGAAAUAGCUUCCAAGCGGAUUCCGCGAGCCCUACUCUUUGAUUGAAUCCUUAUUGCCUUCCCGAAGGUCUGGUCUCUUCCCGAGUUGUAUGGACACCCUUAUGAGAUAGUAAGAGCAGCUAUUGUGCCCGCCUACCGAGUUGUGAGAUAAGGUCUUGUCGGGUACUAGCCCAUUCUGGUUAACAGUAGUCCGAGCCUUAGAGAUGGUAUACGAGCUAGGUCAUUAUCAGACUUGGAGUACAAAUAUGAUGUCUGGAUCUGAUCUAGGUAAUUCAAAGACUUAUUUAGUAGUUUGCCUCCUCGCCCACUUUCAAACCGCCGUUAGCUACAGCCUUAUUGUCUUCCUCGCUGUCCAAAACAAGUAACAAAUAGCCUAGCCGCCACUACUAUAGAAGGCUUCACCAGAACUCCUGAUAAGACCAAACCUAAUGGAUAUGGAACCCUAAUAGAUAUGGCCCCCGACAACUAGGACUUGGACUCGUAUCGUCAGAAUCCAGCUCUAAAGUAAGGAAUUACAGAAAGGAAAAGGAGAACUUAACGAUGAAACACUGCUCUAAAGAAUCUAGUUUUAGCUAACCCUCCCUUUGAAGUAACUAAUUGAACUUACCCAUAUCCUUACUGCCCUAUAGCCUGAGACUAGUCUUAUACUGUGCUACAUCGUACCUGUCUGUAUUCUCUAUUCUUUUAUUUAGUCUAGUGGUUAGUUGUUUGAUUCCCUCCCUUUGAAGUUGCACCAGCGAAUGUGCGUGUAUUGGAAAAGAGAAGAUGCCAUAGAAAGAAAUUGUCUAAGUAAUAGGAGUCAUUAUAAGUUGUCAUUUCGCGAGUCAAGGGAGCAAAUCGGAGCAUACAAGACACCAGCCCAAGGAUCAGAGCAAUGCAAGACAGAGCGAUACCAAUAAAAUAAUAGGAGAUACCAUAGGAAUAGAAUAGGGUAGAGGUAAUAGGAAGUUAGGAGCCGACUAUCGACUAGAAUAAGAUAGGAGCUAACUAGAAUAAGGUGGGAGCCCCGACAAGUAACGGGAAGGCCGGUCGAACACAUGGCCUUUUCUCAAAUUAGAGAAUGACGUAACGCAUGGGAAAUAAAGAAGAAGUUGUAAGCGUAUCAGAUGGAAAUCAAUAGAAGUUGUGUCGAUGUUGCAAGCCCUAUGGCCUCCGGUCGACAAGAAUAGGUGGGCACCAUUAGUGAUAGAGAAUGACUUUAGUGGUGGAGCACCUUGAAUCAUCAUACCGAAAUCGUAUUUCCUUUGAUCUCAUCUAUAAACCAAUUCGGUUCCUUAGCCCAGUCCUGGGUGAGACAGCACUCUAAAUCAAUUACUUUCGCUCGGAUUACUUGUUGUACAGCUAACCUAACCUAACAUAUAGCCAACCUAACCUAACAUAUGAUGCUAUGACCCCUGGAGACUUAGUUAAUGACCAAUCAAAGAACCUACCUUUGAAGUCAAUUGUAGCUAACCCCACCUUUGAAGUUGACCCUCGAUCCAAGCAAUGCAAUAUAGUAGGUUAGUGUUUCGUGCCGUAUUCUUACGGGGUUGAUCUGAUCCCCUGCCCACAGAGCUAAUUCCUCUAGUAAGUAGUAGCACAAAUUCUCUAUGUCAAGCUGGCUUCCGUAUCCAUUGGUUCAUUCAUUCCCUGGGGAAAUAUUCUUUGACUUACUCAGUUGCUUGCCCGAGUUCCAUUAUUUGAGUUAGUUGCAGGGAUGCGAUACAGCGUACCCUCUGUUCGAAAGUCAAUAAGCAAUUUCAGAAUUCUAUAAAUGGCAGGCCCAGAGACAUGAUAGUCAGAAUGCAAGCUAGGGGUGUUGGUUUCAAAGUCCAGAAAGGUAGGCUUGGUUAUUGCCCAGUUAUUCCAUAUUCUAGAUUAUAGGCUUGGUUAUUGUCCAGUUAUUCUCUCUUCUUUGGUUGACUCUGAUACCUGUAUGCACGAGAUCGUACCUGCCUAUGUCUUACUUGAGAGAAACUUAUGUCUUACUCGAGAGAAAGGAGCACUACCAUAGGCAAAGAAAGCAAUAAUCGAAAUCAAUAAAGAAGUUCGAAUUAGUUAUUAGGUAAGAAGUCCUUUAUUAAGUAAGGGUUAGUGACCCGCUUCCAGUAUAACCAUCCGACUAACCUUCAUAAGAUAAUCAACACAUAGGAUCUUGCUAUUUUAGUGAAUUUCUUGCCAAAAACAUCACGUAAUUACUUGGCUGUUUGCUUCUUUUCAGUAGUAGUAAAGUUCCUAUUAGUAUUGGUAUGAUUACCCUCCUACAGGUAAAGUUGAAGAGGCUGUAGUUAUAGGUUGAAACCAAGCAAAGAAAGACUCGGUGCCCCAGAAGCAAGGCAAGGCUCGAGACCAUUAGUUAAAGAACGAGAGACUUGAUCAGUAGACUAAGAAAUGGUAGCGGCAGGCUCGCUUCUUAGGGUUAUUUAGAGCCUUCGACUGCGGGGGUGAAUGUCAAGCCUUAGUUCUUAGUUUGAGUCUCAUAGCUAUGGUUUCAAAAGUGGACUCAUUGAACGGAGAUCAGUGUACCUAUUUUGCCUUAGGGCAAUUCUUGGGUUACGAGUACAUUCCCUCUAAGACCAUGGGUACGGAAUAGGAGGAUGGGGCCAAAAGCCAUAAGAUUAGGAUGGAAUUCGACCCCCACAUUUUCCAUCACGUGAUAAGGGAAUACCCCAAGGACAUCUUUCUUUUAGUGCAUAGGUUCCAUCCAAGCAAGCCAUAGUUACCCUGAUUGAAUAAGACCCAAUGCUCUUUUCAUCACACAGGCUUUAUUCCAAUCCUUGAUGCCUAAAACGCCCUUGAUUCUUUGGAUGGCAAACAGAGUCCCCAGCUGACUUUAGCUCCUCUAUCUUCUCUUUACCAGCUGACUUUAGCUCCUCUAUCUUCUCUUUCUCUUAAGAGAGAGCAUGAAUUUCUUCUCAAUAUCUGUCUAGUGCCCUUUAGUUUGGGAAGGAUAACAACAUUAUACACCAUUAUAGGUUUUGUUGGAUGCUAAAGAGGAAUGAAUGUAUAAGCUGUAAACCGCCAGCAAUCAAUAUCUUCUUCACUGUCCUGCUCUCUUAUUGUUUUUAGAUAGGAAUAUACUUCAAAUCAAUGUCAAUAUCAAUAUCAAUAUCUAUUUCUUAUUAUACCCUCUUCACUCACUGAGUCUUCCAGCCCUAUUUCUUAUCCUCUCACUGAGUCUUCCAGAAAGAAGGGGCACGAACAUAUAUAUGGAUUACUGGCAAGGAACUGCACUAAGGAAGGCUAAUUCAUAUAAGCAAUAGGAAUGGAAAGUGGCUUUCAGCACCUUCUCUGCCUGCCCCAAGAUCCAACUUUCGGCAUGUCUUCGAUCUAGUGAAAGCUAGGGCAAAAGAGGAAUAUAAUCAAUUUCGUAUUUCCCCCAAACCUUAUUCUUAUUAGAUUCAUUAGAUUAUUAUAUUCUAUCUUCUAUAGGAGCACAUCUUAAACAAGGGGCUUGCCCUUUUAGAUUCUAAUAUUCUAUCUUCUUAGGAUUCAUGAGAUUAUUAUAUUCUCUAUUAAGUAAGCGUAAGUCGAGGUAAAUACUCAGAGGAUAACCUAAAGAAAAGGCAAUUGAUUUGAUAGCAGAUUAUAUAAGGUAUUUGUUUCUACUCUAUACUAGAUUCUAUGCUAUGUCUUCUAGAGAAUGCCGAGCUACCAAACAAGCCGCAUUAGUGAGUUCUGAGUUUGCCCUGCCAAUAGCGGAAUAAGGGUAAGCCCACACACGAGCAUAUCUAGUUAUCCUUACAGCCAGAGAAUAGCAAGUUUGAAAGGAGGAUUCAGCUAUCUACAAGUUAACGAAAGUCAUAGCGCUACUAUCUACUGCCAUCUUUCCAGUUCCGGCUUCUUUUACACAUGAGUCAAGGGAGUUUUGGGGGGCUUGGGUAUAUACUCCAAAUUCUCUCUUUUGGCCAUAAGGUCAAAUCUUUUCUUUCUCUAUGGAAGGUUCCAUCUUUUCCCCUUUAGAGCAGCUAACUAUUCUGAGGAACUCUUAUGCCUAAGAAUCCCAUUAGCUAAGAGCAGAGAUUUCGAUUGAAUACAAAGAAUCAUCCUAUUUCAUCUAGCAGGUAAAUGACAAUCUUUUCCGAGCCAUUGUCCUCUUACAUUGCAUAUAUUCUUUCUUAUCUAGUCAGUAGCAUAUUUAGUCCUGGACAAGGAUCCUUAAAAAAUGACUACUAUAUUACUGACCAUUCUUUCCUAACUAACUUGUGAGCCUACCUUGCUACUUAAUGAAACUCCUGGCUUCACCGGCUAUAAGUGAUUCUCAGCUUCUCCUAUAGCAUUCUGUCCCGUGGGAGUUGCCCGUGAUACUUCUAUUCCAGCCCUACCAAUCCUUCUUUUUUCUUAUAACUUCUAUUCCAGCCCUACCAAUCCUUCCUUCUCAUCCGUUUGAUUGAAAGUAGAAGUUUCUUUCUUACACUAAGGGUGGAGUCUUUGCUUAAUCAGUAAACUGUAUAGGAAAGGGUAAGCGCAAAAGACGGAAAGAAUAGGUUUAGUCAAAAGCCCGAAGCGAAGGUGUGUUAGCUACUUUACCACAAUGAAAGGCUGCAGAAAAGUAUGUUUUGUUACUAAAUGGCUUUCUUCUAUCAGAUGUGCGUACACUUACUGUUAUAUUCCUGUUCUAUUAUCAUUCUGCAUCGCGCCCUACUCCUAUAGUGAGAGUUUGGAACUCAAGUAAGCUCCAGCGCCCCGAAACUAUAAAGAAGCACCCCGCCCGAACACAAUAAGCGUAAGCUAUAGGCUUGUUCCGUUGCUUGUUAUCCGAGAGAAAGACUUGACUCGCACUAUGAUUAGACUCAUAUAUAUAAAGAACAUAAAGAGACUUGUAUUAAAUGAAGUAGACCGCGCGGAGGGAGUAAUUGAUUCUACUGUUUCAAGCGCAUAUAGGAAUUGCAGAAUAUUAUAUAGAUGGUUAACUCUAGUAUAGAUUUUUAUGUAACCUUAUACCUAUUACUCUCUUUAGGUGCUAACGGGCUUGUUGAAAAGAGGGUUUCACAGCUUACCUUUACUGAGAAUAGUGCUUCAGCUUCAGUAUCGGGUGUUUGUCAAUCGGUAGAGGUUCAACACCAACAACAGGACUUGCUUCUGACCUUGCACCAAACCAAGGAAAACUGUCAUUUAUUAGCGAGCCGAGCCCAGUAUAGAUCCCGACCCACCAUCCGCACUUAGUCUUGAUCCGAAGUCAAAUCAUUCUUCAACUUACCUGUGAUUAUAGUUAGCACUUGAGCGGGUGCCUUAGCAGAGGCCCUAUAGAGCGUUAGCCAUUUUCGUGUUGGAGCUUUGUGUGAUGUUACUGUUUUCCAUACCUUUUGCAGUACUCACAUUCUAUUCUUUUUAGAGUUUCAGAGAACAAGCAGGUGCGCUAGUUAGUCAGGUACCUUAUGUCUAUUAGUUGUGGAUCAUAUUCAUUGAUCUAUUAUAUCGUAUGCUCCAUUCUCUUCUUUAGAGCAGCUUGUUUAGUUUAGUUCAGGGGUGCGCCAAUCUUAGUAGUGUUUCAGUUAUUUUUCAUCAAUUAUAGAAUGACAUGUUCCGGAUAUUUGAAGUAAGCCGCGAAUCUGCUGAAGCUUAUGCGGUGCUAAAGUUGUCGAGGUUCGGUGUCUAAGAGAGAGGUUAUUUAUGGGCUUGACAUCGAGUUCGGGCAAACUGAUAGACUCCAAAAGACAGAUUGGACUUGCAAAUGAUAGAAGAAAGUAAGCGCAGACUUGUUCACUAGUAAGUUUGUUCUGUUCCAAAGCUAACUAAUGCCCUUGCUUCAUGUUCUCUUGCUUCUUGUUCUGUUCCAAAGCUAACUAAUGUCAUUGCGUUAACGGUAGUGUUAAGAACGGACAAGUAACUACUAUUAGAGUGAAGCCUUGCUUGUUGGUGGGAAGGUGUGGUUUUACAAGUUUCUAUGCCCCAUGUGCAAGAUGCAAGAUCAAACAGGGAUAUUCAAUGAUUACUUGAGAGUGUCAGUUGCAAGUCCAGUUCUCAGAUUUCAAUUAGGAUAAGAAGCACCAGCUAUAGGUUUCAAACAAGCAUAGUAAGAAUCACGCAAGUGGAGCAAGGCUCGAGAUCAGCAGUUACGGAAUGAGCUUCAACGAAGUUAUAGACUGAAAGGCAUUAGUCAAAGAACAAAAGGCAGGCACAUAAGACUGGGGCGAGUGCAAGCUCUCCGGUAGUAUUUUCAGUUUCCCGGUAGACUCAAGGCGAGUUGUAUAAGAAUGAAGUUCCGGGCCAGGAUUCAAUGAAUUGUUGACAUAGGGGAUAGUUCAAAGAACAAGAGUUCAAAGAGCAAGAUGCGAUGCAAGAGAUUCUAUUCAUUCUGAUUCUAAGUAUAAGUAGAAGAUAGUAUUAGAAUAGUAUGUAUGAGUAAGUAAGGGUACGUCUAGCGGAAUAUGAAUAGGGUUUUCGAAUAUGGUCCGAUCUUAGCCGGUGGAGUUUUCUUCUGAUUACAAUGAGUUAUAACCGACAAGCAACGCCCUUAUAGUACUGUGUCAUUCUGACUUUAAUAUAAGAGCGAGUUACUGAUUCUAUUACUUAAUGCGUAGUUGCGCUAAGUACGUAAGCUAUAAACACAGAAUUUCACUGCAACCGAGGUGCUAAGAGCCUUCUGAUUGACAUUCCUUGCCCGGUGAUAGAGGUAGAAUAAACUAUAACUACUAACAUGUGCUCAAUAACUGACCUAGUAAUUGAAAUGUAUACAUAUGGAUGUGCUAGAUUACUUACUUGUUCCAUUACGACUUGCUAAAAAUGCCGUACCUGCUAAUGACUUUCAAACUGAAACUCUGAGAACAAACUGCAUUCUAAGAUUCUUACUUUAGAGCGGAAACCCUUAAGCUCCAUUCUUAAAGGGCCCUUUGAAGUUCAGUGAAAUUGAGGAUUUUGUUUGCCUUCGAGCGAUCGUCAGUAUCAAUUGUCAGCCAUUGAUCUAGUUCUUGCAGCUAUUUCCAUUCUUGCCAAUGCAGCUCCAGGUCAGUCCCCAUCUAAUCCCUAUCCUUAUAGGUCGAGUUCCUAAAUCUGUUUUUGAUUUCGAUAAUGGGAAGGCUUUAAAGCGAGUGCAGUCCAUCGGCCUGUGAGCUAGUUGCAAGCGGGUAAGCAGUAGUCUUUCCCAAGGCAAGCAAGAUAGUCAAGUAAGAAAAUCAACCUAAAGCCAGCCUAAAGCCAGCCUAUAUCUUAUAGUCAGUUUGUAUCGUAUAGCCGUCGAGUGAGCAAUCUUGGUUAGGCCAGUGUAUAUUUCUAGGGGUAAGGCCAUAAAGUGAGACCAAUCCUGUGAUCAAGCCAUAAAGUGAAAAGUAACCAAAAAGCAGGAGUUGGGGAAAGGAAGUUUAGGGUAAGGGCUGGAGUCAAGCGAAAGAAGGCAGUUUGAAAGCAGACAAGGGAGAACACGUCAGCCCCAAUCCUUUAAUGUCGAUCCAGCCAAGGAAAGAUCCGGUGGUAUAAUACCUUUAUUAUGAGUCUGAGGGCAAGCAUCCCUAGGUCUAAAGCACUUUGAAGUAUUCCUAUCCUAGUCAGACAACUGUUUUAUUCAGCCAGUGAGAAAGAAUCCUUUUUGUUGAUAGUUUUCAGGUGAGCCUAUCCAAUUGAAAUGAUACUCGUCCUGUUGCCUUCCUUGCGGCUUGAGUUCUCUUUAAAGAAAGUAUCGGUUAGGUCCUUUUCCGGCAAUGGGAGAUCUGUUGGGACUGUCUUUCCUUGUUGAAAGGUUUUAAAGUAGGUAGGGCAAAUCCCUAUACUUUCUAUGAAAAGUCAUUUCUUUCGUACUGCAAGUCUAUUGGGUUGGACUUCUCUUACAUACGCCCUAAUUUACCCUUCGCCCAUUUCAUUGGUUGUUGUGGGUCCAUGCGAUAGAUUUCCUUGCCGCGUUAACAUUAUUCUUUCUUUGUGGAAUAUAUACUAUUUUACUGAUUCACUUUGUAGCCAGUGCAGUGGGAGAUCCAGUUUCAUAGUGGCUUCUGUCUUGAACUUACAAUAAGGGCCUCUCUACUUCUAGAAAAUCAUUGAAUGCGCCAGCAAGUUAUGUAUUCUGGCCAGAUCUUGCAUUCUAUAACUGAAACAAUAAAGUCAAUACUGAAUGGAAUCGAAAACGGAACUAAUGGAAUUUAGGAAAAGAGGCUAUGGUUUGAUUGAGUAUAGAGCAGUCCUGGCCUUGAAGCGGGAAGUAAAGGUGUUCGAGUGGUUCGGUUCAGAGAGGAGAGUAUUGUUCCAGCAGUAAGCAAUGAAUGUAAGCAAUAACAAAUAAGUAGAAGCUCUUUGGUCGGGGGUGGGUGGAGCCUGAGUUGGUAUUGGUUUGGUUCUGUGACUCCUUAGUUUGAUUCUGAGUUGAACUAGUCUCAUCCCUUGUUUGAUCAGUUAUCCUUAAUAAAGAUAGAUCCAAUUUAUAUGUCAUUUUCCCUUCCUAAUAAGUACAUAGGUUAGUACUUUCAAAUGACAAUAGAUGUCUUCGUGGACUCAGGUACGAGAUAGCACAUGCCCUUUAUUUAUAUUAUAGCAAAUAGUGAUGACCACAGGUAUCUGUUGCCUGAGCUCGGGAAGUAUAGUAAAUAAGAUGUAUAGAUUGCGGAGAUGCCCUAAGUUCGUGAGGGAGUCUAGGUUCUUCUAGUUACGAGUAAGGAGUUAACAGUUCCACAAGUGGUGUGAUAGUGGAAUCCCAAACUAGUAAACGAGUAGUCCAGAGCCAGAUCAGAGGAGAGAUCAGAGGAAAGAUCAGAGGCUAGAUCCGGAGCUGGCUUAGUCUUAUUGGGUGCUAGUGUAGUCGGUGAAGAAAGGAUAGCUUGGGUGUUGAAUACGUUUCUGUUCUUGUGUCGGUACUUAGAAUAUAUCACUGUCAGGUCAACACCAAAGAAUGGGUGAUUAAUAGGCGCACCCCUAAACUCAAAAGAAGGCAUUGCAUUUAGUGCACGUCUUUCUUAUAUAUAAGUGGGUAACAACACGGAUUGACUUCUAGUAUAGCGUGGAGUGGGCCUUACCAAAUACAGGAGACUAUACUAAUGAAUUAGCUGUGCGAGGAAAGGAGACCAGAUCAGAUGCAAGCUUAGAAGUAAUGAACCCUAUCUUUACUUACUAAAAGCCUACCGAUUGCCUGAAUUAGGAUAUGUCGGAUAAUUUGUGGAUUUACCUAUAGGAUAAUUUGUUGAUUUGUUCAUUUCAGUGUCUCUAACAAUAACUUUCACGGGCUAAGAAGUAACAACUAGAUCUAGCUGGUAUUACCAAUAUGUAGCAUUUAGUACAAAGAUAAGAAAUGCACUCAGUAGUUCAUAUAAUAAUUGAACUCAGUAUUUCGAAUUCAACUCUACAGAACAGAGGUAGGGAAUUACUAUUACCAGAACCCGCAUGUAAGUAGUUCAUAUAAGAAUGGAAACUUAUUCCACAAGGGAUGAAACUCAUUCCACUAGUAGCAGCUUUGCCCGCGACUCCUCUAAGUCACUAACUAGUUUACUGCUUUCUGACCUAUACUAUGGAUGUAGUUAAAGACCGGACCCCUAUUCAUUGAGUUCCCGAACACAGUACAGUUUCUUUAUUACUUACCUUGUUUUAAGAACUGCUUGCAGCCGGCUUAUAACUUGUAGCUGACCUAUACUAGAGAUUUCAAAGUCAGUAAAGUAGAUUUCCCCACUAUUCCAAAGUCAGUGAAGUAGAUUUCCCCACUCUUCCAAAGUCAGUAAAGUAGAUUUCCCUACUCUUAUAUGAAAGUCAGAUAUAUGAAAGUCAGAAUUAAGGUAGAAAAGAAAACUGAGGAGCCGAAUGAACUCUGUAUUUGUUGACUCCGGUAGAUUAGAGCCCAGAAAAAGAAUUCUUGAUUGAAACUAAGAGCCUGCCAUUACUAAAACGGAGACUUGCUUUACUGUUUCCCAGACCCGAAGCCGCCAUUAAGAAUUGAGCCAUUAACUGAUAAGAAGAAAACUAGAAGGUAAGGAAUUGCACUCAACAUCCAGAUCCCUAUGUACCCAGUAGUAACCUUCUCCUUUUGAAACUAAUCCCUAUGUUCCAACUAGAUGAGUCUUAUACUGAAAACUACCGAACUACCUCUCAUUCUUUAGGAACAGAUCUAGGCUCCGACUCUCCCCUUCCAUUCUGAAAUUGAUUAUUCUGUUCACGUAUAAUAAUGCAAAUACUAAUAUGGGUGACCAAUAUAGUGUACCGACUAAUAGAAUCCAACUACGCCUGGUAAUGCUGGUAAUGCUCCGAACUACGAAAUAAGGUUUGCUCCACCACUUAUUAGCCUUCUUUUCUAGCUUUUCAUUCUGUGGAUCUACCUUACUACUGACGUGACGUUCAAUGCAAACUACUUAAUUUCAUAGAGAAAGGAGAGAAUGUCAAAUAAGGAGAAAAUAAGCCUGUGAGAGACCAGACCGGAGUAGAAGAGGUUCAUGCCGAAAUUGUAUUUCCAGACAAGACCUAAGCUCCCUAGCUACAUUCUAGAACCUACGAUCCAGAUCCUUUCUUGACUUCUUAUGUGUCUCACUAUACUGACUUGAGUCUUGCUUUACUUGCUGUCAAGCUGUAUCUACUGUUAACAAGACUUAGACUUCCGCUAUGGACUUCGAACCUUACUUCUGUCCUUAGAGGUCUUAGCCCCAAUUAUGACGGACUUUAUUGCCUAUGCGUUAGAGCCCACCGCUGCUGCUUUUAAGCCUGACCUACCUUACACUCCUACUCUUAAUACCCUUGGGUUCAUUCAUUGUAUAUAAGUAGCUAAUUUCUCAUUGGCGGAGGAAUCUGAGUGAGAUGCCGGGGAUAUAUUCUUGUUAGCUGCACUUGUCUCCUAUAGUUCCGAGGUGAUUUCUGUAGGCACUUUUUCGUUCUCUUACUUUUGAGUGGAAUUCCCACUCCAGCUUUAUAGUGUUCUACUGACUACUACCUGUCUUGGAGCUCCGGUCCCUAUCCUUUGUAUUGAGCUAGAUCCUUAAAAGCACCAGUUGCUCGUUCCAUUCCUUCCUGCAGUAGCUCUGUUCUUGCAUGCCCGGGCUCUAUUCUUCCCAGUAGCCGUUCCAGUCUUUCUUUGGUCGGUGUCAAUUCUUAUUGAGAGUAGUGAGAGGUCUCGGUUUUGCUAGUGUUCUUUAGUUAAUAGCAUGGUUUUACUCUGACUUUGGAGUUGAUUUACCUUGCGUAGCUUCUGAACCACUUCGCCAACAACUCAUUCGUAUACGGACUUCUUUCAUUCUCGAUAUACGCCCUUACUUACUUGAAUAGGAAACCAGCAAAGCAAGGAAACCAACAAGGGAAGAAAGAUAAUAAGCAAGAUCUGGAUUUGAAACAGUAUAUUAAAAGCAAGGGCUGCUUUAGGUGCCUGUGUUAGCUCCCAACGAAGAAAGGACGGACUCCCUUUGAAAGCUACCGUGAGCCAAAGGAUUUGUUCAGUGGGUGUCUUUACUGCAAGAAAUCCAUACCUUGUUUGUGCUCUAUACGCAUUAUUAGAAUUCCUUGAUUUGACUUGCGCUAGUGGAAAGGUCAAUGAAUUCUUUGUUUACUCUGGGGAUAAGAUAAAGUAAGUGGAAUACAGUUAAGAGUCAAAGGGCUGCGAGGUGACUUUCUCCGGGCAAAGGAGUUGUUGACUUUCCGGGCGAUAAAGGAGUUAGAUUAGUUGUCGUGAGUUAGUUAAGUAAGUAAGGAGUAAAGAGUGAGAGAGAUCCUAAGUGAGAGAGAUCCAUAUAAAAGAAAUCCUAAGUGAUAGAGAUCCAUUGAAAAGAAAUAUAAAUAAGAGAGAUCUUUAAGUGAUAGAGAUCUAUGGAAAAGAGAGAAUAGUGGAAUAAUAAGCUUUACUAGUAUGUGUGUAAUGUAAUAAAUGAGGUUACCUAUUACUGAGGUAAUAGCAGUCAACAGUGCUGUUUACUUUGAUAAUAGAAGGUACUAAUAAGAAAGGAUAAUCUAAGGUACUAAUAAGAAAGGUGUACACUAAGAAUCAGAUUCAAGCUUGUGCCUUUCCUCCGCUCUUGUUGAAAAGAAUUGUUAUUGGAAGACCAACCAACCCUAUAAUGAAUUACAUUAGGACAGAGGCAGCUAGCAAGGACGACACUACCCUUAC
rnacentral:lncRNA from 1 species